rnacentral:misc_RNA from 1 species
GAUGAAGAACGUAGCGAAGUGCGAUAAGUAAUGUGAAUUGCAGAAUUCAGUGAAUCAUCGAAUCUUUGAACGCACAUUGCGCCCGCCAGUAUUCUGGCGGGCAUGCCUGUUCGAGCGUCAUUACAACCCUCAGGCCCCCGGGCCUGGCGUUGGGGAUCGGCGGAAGCCCCCUGUGGGCACACGCCGUCCCUCAAAUACAGUGGCGGUCCCGCCGCAGCUUCCAUUGCGUAGUAGCUAACACCUCGCAACUGGAGAGCGGCGCGGCCAUGCCGUAAAACACCCAACUUCUGAAUGUUGACCUCGAAUCAGGUAGGAAUACCCGCUGAACUUAAGCAUAUCAAUAAGCGGAGGA